UUAUCAUUCUCCUCUUUCUGAGAAUUAAGGACUUGCCUUGUGUUUUAAUCCCCUUCCUGGCCCCACUCCAUGCACACGGAGCCGGGGCCGUCGUGGCUGCUGAGUGGUCUGUGCAUGGCUUGGCUGUGUUGGUGCUGGCACAGCUGCGGGUGAUCUCGUGCUAGGGCCCUCAGGCUGGCACCUCUGGGCAGUCUUGUGAAGGCCGCACUGGUCAUCGUCUUCCCCCAAGUGGCCGUUGCUCGGCCAACCAGUAACUACUAAAAGCCUCCCCACCCAGGCCCUGGGCUGCGUCUGUUCAGCCUGGAGCAGGCUCACCCUGCACCUGGGGUCUGGAGUGUGCUGGGGGCCGGGCUGUGGGGUGUGGGUCGCCAGGCUCGUGGCUGCUCUCUGGAGACGGGUCACACGCGUUGGCAGACCCCUCUCCGGGCCUGUGGGCUGAAUGCUGGCAGGGGUGCUGGGCUCCGUCCGUCCACUGCUGAUGCGAGCUGGGUGGGCUUCCCUUGCCUUCACCCACUCAGGUUGGAGUAGGGAUGGAGUCGCUGCUCCUGAGGGGUUCUCGGGGGCCAGGACGGGACUUUUAAUUCCCUCUUGAGACAUCUUCGGGGCCUGAGUGUGCAGGGUCUGAGCCCACUCUGUGAUGAGUAUGGGGAGCAUGUGGAGCCCCAGGGCAGCUCAGCGUGUGGCUCAAGGCCUUCUCCUGUAGGUUUUUAAAUUUAUUUGUUCCCUUGCCAGAAAUGAGUAUGACACCCCCAACUGGCCACAGUUCCUGCCUUAAAAUGACCGAGGUUAAAAUGAGAAACACAGAGCUUCCCUUGGAGGUCACGGUACAUUCCAGUCCAGGAGAGACGGAGCCGGUGUCUGACUUGAGUCUGUGGAGGGCAGCAGUGCACCCGCCCAAUCUGUGCAUUCCCUUCUGAGCUUGAUUUAGCCCCUCUGUUUCAGUCAGUCAUGCUCAUUGAGAACAGACAGCAAGUGUAUGAAGCGGGUGGAGGCUGAUUCAGCCCCUGUAUUGAAAAGUCGGUCGUGCUCAUUGAGAACAGACGGGAAGCGUACGAAGCGGGUGGAAAAUCCCGCAGUCCAGCCAUUCCCUUCAAAACAUGCCUCCCAGCCACUCAGGAGGCUGAGGCAGGAGGAUCACUUGAGCCCAGGAGGUCAAGGUUGCAGUGAGCCAUGGAGUCCAUUGCACUCCAUCCUUGGUGACAGAGUGAGACAUCGUUUCCAAAAAAAUUCUACAGAAAUGCUCUAUUUACAAAUUUACAUAAUUUCCUUUGGAAAUAGAUUUAAAAAUUUUUUAAGGAUGAGGUAGGUAGGCAGGAAAACGGGGUUCUUUUUGGAUAAAAAAAUUCACAUGGCCGGGUGUCAUGGCUCAUGCCUGUAAUCCCAGCACUUUGGGAGGCCGAGGCAGGCGGAUCACGAGGUCAGGAGAUUGAGACCAUCCUGGCUAACACGGUGAAACUCCGUCUCUACUAAAAAUACAAAAAAUUAGCCAGGCAUGGUGGCGGGCGCCUGUAGUCCCAGCUACUCGGGAGGCUGAGGCAGGAGAAUGGCGUGAACCCGGGAGGUGGAGCUUGCAGUGAGCCAAGAUCGUGCCACUGCACUCCAGCCUGGGCGACAGAGUGAGACUCCGCCUCAAAAAAGAAAAAAAAAAUCACACACCCCUUUAGCUCUGACACCCAGAGGGCCCCCAGCAGGAACAUCAUCCCCCCGUUGUGACUCCCAUGGGGGACCUCAUCGGGGGGCCUUGGGCAGAUGUGUUGUUUCCCGUUGACUGACAAAGUCAGGAUUUUUAGGGGGAAAAUACUGAGAUUUGCCUUAUUUUUUAAACAUUGAGAUGAUGGAAUUGUGAGUGGUGUUUUGUUUAGCUGUGUACAGUACUUGCAGCUUCAUGGUGAGUGAGGCCAGACACACUCAGACACGGCGAUGGCCCCGGAUUUUGUGUUUUAAAGUGUUUCGUCAGCAUUUUUGACUUCAUGUUAACACUUGUCUUUUGAACCAAGGUUUUUUCUUUUUAAAACCUGAUUUCCUAUUCCCUGGAGCUCUGCUCCUGUGAACAUGUUUUUGUGUCUUUGGUGGCCCCUUCGGCCUGGUGAAGUUUCCGUUCAAACGCGGCCGGUGCCCACGUGGACAGGCCGCCCCCGUGUUUGCACUCACAGGUUGCACAUCUGCCCCCAUGGCAGGCUCACGGCAUCCUUUCUUUGCCUUCACAGAGCCUGUCUAAAGACCCGGGCUUGUCAAGAGGAGCAUCUUCAUGGUGCUCAGCAAACUACUACGAUCGGAGCCGACUGCAGUUUGUUAAGUUGAUUUCAUUUAACGAGUAACUUUGGUGUCUGCUUACUGUAAGGACUAUGCUCGGGAACUUGGGAGUGAAAAGGAAGAUGCUGUCUUACCUGUCUGUGAAACGUGCUUUGUAAGAUGUGUUCC
rnacentral:lncRNA from 1 species